rnacentral:misc_RNA from 1 species
AAGUCGUAACAAGGUAACCGUAGGUGAACCUGCGGUUGGAUCAUUAACAAUGGUUUUCAAACCUCUAUUCUGUGCACUGUAUUGUUCUUGGUGUUUUCCGCCUCUUUCUUUGGAGAGGAGCGGAGGCACCGACAUUUUUAAACCAUGUAUUGUAUCGAGUCUUGAAUUUGUAUUAAAAUGAAAAACUUUUGACAACGGAUCUCUUGGCUCUC